rnacentral:rRNA from 1 species
AUUGAACGCUGGCGGCAGGCCUAACACAUGCAAGUCGAACGAGUGGCGGACGGGUGAGUAAUGUCUGGGAAACUGCCUGAUGGAGGGGGAUAACUACUGGAAACGGUAGCUAAUACCGCAUACCAUCAGAUGUGCCCCGAUGGGAUUAGCUCGUUGGUGGGGUAACGGCUCACCAAGGCGACUAUCCCUAGCUGGUCUGAGAGGAUGACCAGCCACACUGGAACUGAGACACGGUCCAGAAGCCUACGGGAGGCAGCAGUGGGGAAUAGUGCACAAUGGGCGCAAGCCUAAUGCAGCAAUGCCGCGUGUAUGAAGAAGGCCUUCGGGUUUGAAGGUACUUUCAGCGGUGAGGCGUUACCCGCAGAAGAAGCACCGGCUAACUCCGUGCCAGCAGCCGCGGUAAUUC